GUCACUGAAGAGCGACAAAAUGGAUCCGGCCGGCGUCGUUAGCCUUAGACAAGUUAGCAAUGGCCUUAAGCCACCAAACCUGGUAAAAAUCCCGAGAUCAGCUCCUUUCAAGAUCUACACUCAGAUGGCAGCAAAUGCAGUAAUAGUGUUCGGUGACAAACUGAGAGUAAUCCUGCGACUACGUUCAACAUCCUCGAGCGACUCCAUGGCUGCCCUCCAGACGGUAAUAAACCCGUCGAUCCCCCACCCACUAGCAGUCUCCUUCAGAGACUCGUACAGGCGCUGUCUUCACCAACUGGAGAAACAGUCGACCUGUACUGGAUUAAAGCACACGCAGGGUGGGAGGAAAACGAAAGAGCCGACCAUCUGGCUAAGGAGGCAGCGAUGAACUCAAAAAGGAGGUCGGACUAUGACGGGUGUCCUGUCUCAUUCGUCAAGCGUCUGAUCCGCGAUCGGACGCUUGCCGAGUGGGACGGGCGAUAUCGGUCUAGCGAGACGGCUUCAGUUACCAAGCUUUUCUUCCCGAGCACUGUUGCUGCGUAUAGGAUUGUCGGUAAGAUUGCCCAAACACAACACAACUGUUCACGGGACAUGGCGGGUUCGCCACAUAUCUACACCAUUUUCGGUAUCGGGAGGACCCGUCGUGUCCUUGUGAGCAGUCACAGCCUGAGACGAUCACACACAUCCCGUCCCAUUGUCCCCGCUUCAGGCGACAACGCAACGACCUGGAGCAUGAUAUUGGCGAUAAGAGCGAAGAAAACAAAGAAAUGAGCAGAAAAUUCGUAGAGUAUAGCAGUAAGAUAAUAAAAACUAUAGUAAUUAGACAUAGUAACAGGUAAAACUAUAUGAAAAUGUAUAUUGAUUAUACAAUUUAAAUAUUGUAAUAGGAAAUAAAUAAAAAAUAGUCAUUAAAAAUCUCAAUCCUAUUUAAAUAUAGUUUUUUCCCUGUAAUAGUGUAGUGUUAGUUUAAAUAUUUUUAGUUGAUACUGCUUUUAAUAAAAAUAUUAGAUAUAAGAAAAAUAUAACUAUUAGGAAAUAAAUAAAAGUAGCAAGACUGGAAGUUAAUAUCCGGGGACCGUGUUAAUUUAGUUACCCUACCCCGACUAGAUAUAAGUUUAGUCGACGGCCCACUUACUGCGGUAGGCACCAUAUAUAAAAACAAAAAAAAAACAGAGUAAUACAAGACCCACAGAUUGUCACCUAAACUGAAGCUGCAAUCCUAGAACCAUAAAGAUUGAGUACUACUUGUAAAUACAUACCGAUACUGAUGGUCUAAAAUCAUUCCUUAUGGCAGUCUAUGUUGGAGGCCUAUGUUUGCAGUGCAUGGACAGAUAAUGGUUGAUGUUAUGAUAGUUUAUAAUAUUAGUAGUUUAAUUCACUUUUUUAAACAAAAGUUCACUUCACCUCGUCGGUUCACCUAUUUUUUUAUGAAUCUUUCCCCAGCUUUGUCGAAGACAAAAUUAUUAACUUCUGUUCAAACUCCGACCGCCUCCUAAAUAUCAACACUCGCAUCGCGUAUAACAUUAUUCGAUACUGCCUUUAUUAGAUAUAGACAGUGUAAUCUGUGCAUAACAUUAUUUGUAGAAUGGUAACUUUGUUUUUAUCUGUUGGCAACAUUGUCGCGUGUGUCAAUGAGUUGAAGUCUUAGGUAGCCAUGUGUGAUUCGUUGUCGAUUCUUGUAAUAUUAAUAAAUUCUUCUAAUUUGAUUGCUGAGCGUUUCACUGCAAAACUAUUAUUCAUAUUAGCCUUUUUGUACCAAACUUUACUUACGUUCUCCGUAGUGCACUAUGAAAUUUGGUAAACACGCACUAUAGAAAACGGAGAAGGGCCUAAACUACCUUUUGAUUCUGAUCAGUGAACAUGUCCUGGUUGCGGAGAUAGUCACGAGUAAAAGCUUACCGCCUAUAUUUGGCAUAUAGGGGGAGAGGGGGCACAUUGAUUCACGGGGCACAUUGGUACAGUAUCUAUAUCUCAAAACCGAUAAACGCUACACAGUCCGGCACAUCACUAGAAUGCUCAAGGGCAUUCACAAGAAUGACAGUUGUGACACCGUUCGCCGCCAGUUUGCCAUUGGACCUCAACGGUCAUUAACGUGUUGAAAGUGGCGUGCGCCGCUGCCUACAAAAAAAAACGUGAAAUGUAAUUGUGUCUCAGGAGGAUUCUUUUAGUUGUUUUUGUUAUUAUUUGUUACUACAGAAAACGGUGCGCACGUACAAACACAAAACUGAUAGAAAAAAUAUCAAUGAAGAAAACAUUGAAGACGCAAUACGUGAAGCAUUGUCAAAGACUUUAUCUAUACGCAAAGCAGCCGACAAAUAUAGCAUCAAAACUGCGACCCUACAACAUCGCAUAGAAAAAGCCAGAAAAUCAUUUGAAGCUACCAGAAUAUUAUCUACAAAUGAAGCAUCCUCUUCAUUACAAGCAGAAUCUUCUUUAUCACAAGCAGGUCCAUCUUCACCACAAAUAGCACCAUCUAUGGAGAUGGCACAAAUAGCGUCAUCUUCAGCACACACUACUACUGCAGCUUUAUCAUCACACACUGCUACAGCUACUUCAUCAAACAUCUAUGGUUCCAAGUAUACCGUUGCACAAGUUUUUUCAAUCGAACAAGAAAAGGCAUUGACUCAAUAUUUAUUGAAUUGCAGUAAAAUGCACUACGGCCUUACAUUGAGACAGCUUUUGACUUUGGCAUACGAGUUCGCAGAAUCCUCAGGGUGUAAUUAUCCAAAACCCUGGAAAAAAAAACAAAUGCGCUGGAAAAGAUUGGCUUCAGGAAGAGAAACCCAGAAUUGAGUCUACGAAAACCAGAAAACACAAGCGCAGCAAGAAGCUUUGCUUUUAAUAAAGCUGCUGUAGCUCAAUUUCAUGAUAAUUACGAACGCAUAAUGAGACAGUACAAUUUUACACCCGAUCGAAUAAUAAACUUAGACGAAACAGGCAUAAGCACAGUUCUUUCUACUCCUAAAGUUAUUGCUGGGAGAAUACAAAGACAGGUGGGACAAAUAGUUUCUGCAGAACGCGGAGAGUUAGUUACUUUCUGUGGUAUUAUUACUGCUACUGGUUCUUUUCUUCCUCCAGUUUAUGUCUUUCCAAGAGUUCACUACAAAGAUCACUUCCUAAAUGGAGCUCCUGAUGGAAGUCUAGGGUUGGCAAACAGAAGCGGCUGGAUGACAUCAGAAUUGUUUAUAAGAGUUUUGAAACACAUUCAACGCCUUACUUCGAGCAAUAAAGAUAACCCAAUUCUAAUCAUUUGUGACAACCACGAAUCGCACAUUUCAAGAGAAGCUGUUAACUACUGUCGUGACAACGGUAUUGUUUAUUUGAGUCUGCCCCCACACACGUUACACAAAUUGCAACUUCAAAGGCAAAUUGAAGAUAGCUUUCAACGACUGGCACAUUCAAAAUGUUGGAAAGACUGACCAUAUACAACAUUGCUGAACUGUCAAAAUUAGCAUAUUUGGAAUCAUUUACACCAAAGAAUAUCAUAGGUGGUUUUUCCAAACCUGGAAUUUGGCCAAUUAAUAAACUGAUAUUUGGCGACGACGACUUUGCACCGAUAGACAUUUUCAGCACAGGUUAUCACGAUUUGACAGAUGAGAACACUCACAAAACACAAGAUUUACAUUUUGUAGACUCGGAAACAAGUCAAAAUAAUGAAGUUGUUGAUAGAGAACAAAAUAAAACUCCUACUUUGGAUACCGACCCAAUUUCAGUGUCUGAUGCUGACGAUUCUCUACAUGUUUCUUCAUCACAGGCUAUGCUUACUCCUGACGUAGUUAGACCUUAUCCAAAAAAGGCGAUUACUGACAGUGUCUUAAAAAGAAAAGGAAGAGAAAAGGGACAUAUCAAGAAUAUACACUGACACACCAGAAAAAAAUAGAUUAGAAAGCUUACGUAAUGAAAAGGACAGGAAAAGAGAAUUACAAAAAGCAAAACAGCAUGCAAAAGAAUUGAAAACAGCGAAAAAUCUGCUGGGGUUAACUGAGCCAAAAAAGAAAAAGAGAGUAACUUCUUUGCCUGCAGAAAUAGAUUCCGAUUCUAGUCUAGAUGAAGUCGUGAUGACGAGUGAUAGUGAAGAGAUUGAAAUGCCAUCGGAAUCAGAAGAAGAGGUAAUUAAUGAAGAACCAGUUAAUCCUGAACACAUAAAUAUUGGAGAUUUCCUACUAAUUAAGUUUGAGAAGAAGAAAACUGUGAUUCACUACGUUGCCAAAGUCGUAUUUAAGUAUAAUGUGACAGAAUAUGAAGUAUCAUAUCUCAGAAAAAAAACAGGGUCUUAUAAGUUCAUAUUUCCAAUUGUGGAAGACAAAGCAAGUGUGGAUGUUAGAGAUGUAGUUUUGCAAUUACCAAAACCAACUUUCUCCAAAGGCACAUCUCGAACAUCGUCGCUUUAUUCAUUUUCGGUAGGUUUAACUCGAUAUAAUAUCCAGUAGAUUGUUUUGUAAUUUAUAUGAGAGUUUUUAUGAUUAUUUUUGUUAAAUUUUUGAUGUUUGUUUAAUUUUUUAAGAAAACUAUUGUUUAUUUUGAUAGGAGGUUCUAAUAUUAUAUUUUCAUUAACAAUAUUCAAUGUUAAAGUCUGAUUACUUAGUAAGUAUAUAACUGAUUAUAUAAUUAAGAAAAUAACAGAGAAUUAGUCUUGUUCUAUGAUGACAAUAUUGUUUUUUUUUGUGAUUAUAUUUCUUAAGUAACUUAAGAGACUGAUUAUGGCUAAUGUGCACUCUUAAUAAAAAGUAUUUUGCGAUCUCAAUCAAUAAAA